GCUGGGAGUGCAGCUCAGUGGUAGAGUACAUGCCUCAUGUGCACGUGGCCCUGGGUUGGACCCCCAGUCCCAACA
rnacentral:tRNA from 1 species